UGAGGGGAGCGCGCGGCGGGGCCGUUGGCGCUGAGGGGAGCGCGCGGCGCGGCCGUUGGCUCUGAGGGGAGCGCGCGGCGCGGCCGUUGGCUCUGAGGGGAGCACGCGGCGCGGCCGUUGGCGCUGAGGGGAAGGGUGAAGGUGAAGUGGCAGAGCUGGCGGCGGUGCUCGCGGAUCGGGCGCGUUCUCCUUCACAGCGGCAGAGGAGCGGAGUGCAGCAGAUAGAAGGAACGCAAAAGCUGAAAGUGUGGAGACAUAGUUGUUAGAAGAUCCUCUUCCCAAAAGGGGAAAAUCCCUCUUGAAAGAAGAUGAGGCUAAAUUCCACGUGUGAAUUGUGGGAGUAGCUGUGACUCCUACCCUUCUGGGCAGGGUGGAUGUGUUUAAGCAUCUGGAAUUGGGAGCAGUAAUAUUUCUGGUUGUCAAGCAGAGCCAGCAACACCUAAUUUUAAGCUAGGGCUUAAUCUUGAUUUUUAAACGAAGUUAAAAUUUGGACCUUUUAUGAGAGUUGAUCUUGAUGGAGCGGGGUUGGAUCCCAGCUUAGUGUGCCUAAAAUUGGCCUUGUCUGCUUCUACACCGACAAACACAGUUAGGAUCUCAUGAUGUGCUGCUCCUCUCUUUGGGCUGUCGCUGAGCCUGAAGCUAUUACAGUAAUGGUUUGGUAGUUGAGUGGCUCCUCUGAAAAGUGUGAGUGUACCUGUGCUGCAGAAGCUGCAGGUAAGUUUUGGAAGACUGGAAAAUGGCUGUGGAAACUGCACAUUUUGGGGUCUGUGUGAAUGUAAAGAACUGGAAUGUAUGAAUAAGUCAAUAAAGAGACAUGACUGGC